AGUAACACGUAAGCAACCUGCCUAUCAGAGGGGAACAACAGUUAGAAAUGACUGCUAAUACCGCAUAUGCCUUAAUUACCACAUGGUAGUAGAGGGAAAGGAGUAAUCCGCUGAUAGAUGGGCUUGCGUCUGAUUAGAUAGUUGGUAAGGUAACGGCUUACCAAGUCGACGAUCAGUAGCCGGACUGAGAGGUUGAACGGCCACAUUGGGACUGAGAUACGGCCCAGACUCCUACGGGAGGCAGCAUG
rnacentral:rRNA from 1 species